rnacentral:rRNA from 1 species
GACGAACGCUGGCGGCGUGCUUAACACAUGCAAGUCGAACGGAAAGGCCCUGCUUUUGUGGGGUGCUCGAGUGGCGAACGGGUGAGUAACACGUGAGUAACCUGCCCUUGACUUUGGGAUAACUUCAGGAAACUGGGGCUCAUACCCGAUAGGAGCUCCUGCUGCAUGGUGUGGGUUGGAAAGUUUCGGCGGUUGGGGAUGGACUCGCGGCUUAUCAGCUUGUUGGGGGGGUAGUGGCUUACCAAGGCUUUGACGGGUAGCCGGCAUGAGAGGGUGACCGGCGACAUUGGGACUGAGGUAGGGCCCAGACUGGUACGGGCGGCAGUAGUGGGGAAUAUUGCAGAAUGGGGGGAAGUGUGAUGCAGCAACGUCGCGUGCGGGAUAACGGCCUUCGGGUUAUAAACCGCUUUGGCAUGUGACGAAGCGUGAGUGACGGUAAUGGGUAAAGAAGCACCGGCUAACUACGUG